AAAAACAAUGAAAUCGGUUAGGUGCGUUGAGCCGUAAAUAUUUGCCGUUUUACCUAUUAUUUUGUAACCGAUUUUUCCCAAUUAUUUCGGAAUCCCUUUGGAAAGUCAUAAAAUGACCUCUUUAAUGUACCAACCGUUCCGAAAAGGUGCUACACCUGAUACAUCGGAGGAUGUUUUUUUUUUUUGGAAUUGCUACGCUCCGAAUCUAAAAUUUAAACUUCGUUCGGAUAAUUAUGUUUUCCGAUUUAAUGUCU